rnacentral:rRNA from 1 species
UUAUAUUUGAGAGUUUGAUCCUGGCUCAGGAUGAACGCUGGCGGCGUGCCUAACACAUGCAAGUCGAGCGGAGAUAGUGUUUAACACUGAGUAUUUAUUUAAAGUGCUAAUCUAAUAGCCGCGUCAAGCGCGCGAUAGCGAGCUUGACGCAAAUUAUGAAUAACACACAAUAAGUAUUGAGUGUUAAACACUAUCUCAGCGGCGGACGGGUGAGUAACGCGUGGGUAACCUGCCCUGUACACUUGGAUAACACACCGAAAGGUGUGCUAAUACAAGAUAAUAUCAAAGGAAGGCAUCUUCUUUUGAUCAAAGUUUUUGCGGUACAGGAUGGGCCCGCGUCCCAUUAGCUAGUUGGUGGGGUAACGGCCUACCAAGGCGACGAUGGGUAGCCGACCUGAGAGGGUGAUCGGCCACACUGGAACUGAGACACGGUCCAGACUCCUACGGGAGGCAGCAGUGGGGAAUAUUGCACAAUGGGCGAAAGCCUGAUGCAGCAACGCCGCGUGAACGAU